GAUGAACGCUGGCGGCGUGCUUAACACAUGCAAGUCGAACGGAAAGGCCCAAGCUUGCUUGGGUACUCGAGUGGCGAACGGGUGAGUAACACGUGGGUGACCUGCCCUGCACUUCGGGAUAAGCCUGGGAAACUGGGGCUAAUACCGGAUAGGACGAUGGGUUGGAUGCCAGUGUGGAAAGUUUUUUCGCGGUGGGGUGAGCUCGCGGCCUAUCAGCUUUUUGGUGGGGGAAUGGCGUACCAAGGGGUCGACGGGGAGCCCGCCCGAGAGGGGGUACGGGCACAUUUGGGGAGUGAGACGGCGCAGACUCUUACGCGGGGCAGCAGUGUGGAAUAUUGUACACUGGGCGCAGGCCCGAUGCAGCGCCGCGGCGUGGGCGGUGACGGCCCUCUGGUUGUAAACUCCGCUCUCGCGUGAGGCAGCGUGUUUGUGACGGUACCGGGAGAAGGAGCACCGGCUAACUACGUG
rnacentral:rRNA from 1 species